rnacentral:rRNA from 1 species
GAUUCUGGCUCAGGAUGAACGCUAGCUACAGGCUUAACACAUGCAAGUCGAGGGGCAGCAUGAGAUCAGCUUGCUGAUCUUGAUGGCGACCGGCGCACGGGUGAGUAACGCGUAUCCAACCUUCCCCCUGCUCAGGGAUAGCCCGCUGAAAGGCGGAUUAACACCUGAUAACUUCACUAGAUGGCAUCUGACGGUGAAUAAAGAUAACGGCAAGGGAUGGGGAUGCGUCUGAUUAGCUUGUUGGCGGGUAACGGCCCACCAAGGCAACGAUCAGUAGGGGUUCUGAGAGGAAGGUCCCCCACAUUGGAACUGAGACACGGUCCAAACUCCUACGGGAGGCAGCAGUGAGGAAUAUUGGUCAAUGGGCGGAAGCCUGAACCAGCCAAAGUAGCGUGCAGGAAGACGGCCCUAUGGGUUGUAAACUGCUUUUGUACGGGAAUAAAGUCAGGGACGUGUCCCUGUUUGCAUGUACCGUAAGAAUAAGGACCGGCUAAUUCCGUGCCAGCCGCCGC